rnacentral:rRNA from 1 species
UACGAAGGGGACUAGCGUUGUUCGGAAUCACUGGGCGUAAAGCGCACGUAGGCGGAUGUGUCAGUCAGGGGUGAAAUCCCGGGGCUCAACCUCGGAACUGCCUUUGAUACAGCACGUCUCGAGUCCGGAAGAGGUGGGUGGAAUUCCUAGUGUAGAGGUGAAAUUCGUAGAUAUUAGGAAGAACACCGGUGGCGAAGGCGGCCCACUGGUCCGGUAUUGACGCUGAGGCGCGAAAGCCAGGGGAGCAAACGGGG